CUACGACGGGUACGGGUUGUGAGAGCAAGAGCCCGGAGAUGGAUUCUGAGACACGAAUCCAGGCCCUACGGGGUGCAGCAGGCGCGAAAACUUUACAAUGCUGGCAACAGCGAUAAGGGAACCUCGAGUGCCAGGUUACAAAUCUGGCUGUCGAGAUGCCUAAAAAGCAUUUCAUAGCAAGGGCCGGGCAAGACCGGUGCCAGCCGCCGCGGUAACACCGGCGGCUCGAGUGGUAACCGUUAUUAUUGGGUCUAAAGGGUCUGUAGCCGGCCGGAUAAGUCUCUUGAGAAAUCUGGCAGCUUAACUGUCAGGCUUUCAGGAGAUACUGUCUGGCUCGAGGCCGGGAGAGGUGAGAGGUACUUCAGGGGUAGGGGUGAAAUCUUGUAAUCCUUGAAGGACCACCAGUGGCGAAGGCGUCUCACCAGAACGGACCUGACGGCAAGGGACGAAAGCUAGGGGCACGAACCGGAUUAGAUACCCGGGUAGUCCUAGCCGUAAACGAUACUCGCUAGGUGUCGGCCACGGUGCGACCGUUGUCGGUGCCGUAGGGAAGCCGUGAAGCGAG
rnacentral:rRNA from 1 species